UUUCCCUUCCUCUUCUCUUUUUUUCCCGUGCCCGUUCCAGUUCAUCCCCAUUCUCCUCUCUGCUCGCCCCUCCUCAACGUCCCUUCCCGAUCUCCACCGCUGAUUCAACCUUGUCGGGGGCGAGCGGUCCGACGAAAAUCCUCGGCGGAGUAUCCCUGGUCGGUUCGAGUAGUGGUGGACCAGUUUGGUCGGCGCGGAGAAGCGGAUCAAGGAGUUCGGCCGCGGGUGUGGCCUUUCUGGGAGGGUCCCGUCGGCGGCGGGGCGCCGCCAAUCCGACGAUUCUGAGGCGGCGCGAGGUCCUUGGUGAAGGAUAUCUUCGCCGCUGCUCCGGGAUUCGACGCUAUUGUGGCGUCGCGGCCGUCGUCGUAAUAGUGGUCGAAGGAGAGCAUCCGCGUCGAGGCGCUGUUAAUAAACCAUGGCGGUCUACACUUGGAGAAAGCAAAAUACUAAGAAAGUACAUUCAGUUCUUAUCGGUGCACAAAGUUGGAAAGGGUUCGUUUGAUUUUGGAUCAGUUCUCGUCUGUACACUCUGUCCGUUUUUAGUGUAGUUGGAUUUAGGAGGUGUACAUUGUGUGUAUCUAUUUUCCUUUUGUUUUCUUAGUUUGAAACUGGUAAACCUCGUCUAGAUUAGGAUGUAUUUUUUUGCGGAAACAAACUUUUAUCCUGAUGCUUGCUUUGCUUUG